CAAUGGCUUCGCUCUUCUUCGAUGCUAGAAUGUGAAGUUGACGAGGAUGACGCGGGAGUGAUCUGGAAGAAGGACGGUGAAGUCUUCAAACCAACAGAUAAAAAGAUUCAGAUCCAAGUAGAGGGCAAAAAGCGUCGCUUAUUUUUCAAAGAGAUCAAAAUGAACGAUGCUGGACACUACACUUCC